rnacentral:rRNA from 1 species
GACGAACGCUGGCGGCGCGCCUAACACAUGCAAGUCGAACGGAGCUUAGAGAGCUUGCUUUUUAAGCUUAGUGGCGAACGGGUGAGUAACGCGUGAGUAACCUGCCCUAGAGUGGGGGACAACAGUUGGAAACGACUGCUAAUACCGCAUAAGCCCACGGUACCGCAUGGUACUGAGGGAAAAGGAUUUAUUCGCUUUAGGAUGGACUCGCGUCCAAUUAGCUAGUUGGUGAGGUAAUGGCCCACCAAGGCGACGAUUGGUAGCCGGACUGAGAGGUUGAACGGCCACAUUGGGACUGAGACACGGCCCAGACUCCUACGGGAGGCAGCAGUGGGGGAUAUUGCACAAUGGGGGAAACCCUGAUGCAGCGACGCCGCGUGGAGGAAGAAGGUUUCGGAUUGUAAACUCCUGUCGUUAGGACGAUAAUGACGGUACCUAACAAGAAAGCACCGGCUAACCUACGUG